GGCAGGUUUGGGGUUUAACAACACCCCUCACCCAGCAAACAGUGGGGCUGGACAGUUUGCAGAGGUCACAAGUCUUGAAAAUGCUCUUCAGCUCUUUGACCAACAGCGUGCAUGUGCCAGUCCUUACACAGCGUUUAAGUCAAAUGAGCCCGCUGUUUCUCUUCCCCCAGCCUCCAACUCAAGGUAAGUAUUGAUUCAAAUUACUCAAACUUUAUUUUAUUCAUAAACGAUCGUUAUAAUAAGCAAAGAGAAUGGAAAUGACAUUAGGCAUACCUUAACAUUUAUUCAAUUAAAAAAGUUUGAUAGAGCAACAACAUUAACUUUCUCUCUGAUUUUGACCAACAGGAAAAGAAAAAGGGAAAUGGAGCAGGAGGACAGCUCGUACAUCAAAAAGCCGCCAAAUGCCUUCAUGAUCUUUAUGAGGAUGUACAGAGAAAAUGUACCAGCUGAAGUUGCAGAGAAAGGGAGCGCAGAGACGAAUGCUUUCCUCGGCCAGUGGGUAAGUGCGUCAGGACAUGGUUCACUCGGGUUUAAAUAAAUCAAAGAUUUUUACUUUAUCUUUUCACUGUAACUGUUAAUGUUGCUUUUUAUUCACUGUCUCACGUAAAGAACUUUUAAAGGUAUGAAAGUUUGCAUAGAGGAAAUGUUGUACACUCACUAAUGAGUACCUGGUGUGCACCAGGUGUUGUUCAUGCGCAAGUGGAUGAUCCAGUUUGGAAAUAAGUGUGUUUCUGACAGUAUGUUUUUGUCUGUUCACAGUGGAAUAAGCUUACAGAGGAACAGCGAGGGGAAUUUAAAGAAAUGGCCAGAGUGGAAAAGGAAGAACACAGUCGGCUGUACCCAGGUUGGUCAGCCAUCAACAAUUAUGUAAGUACACAAUCUAUGCAAAGCAGCACCACAAAUGUUGUGAUGUGAGCAUGUGAGAUUUCAAAAGCAGCUUUAUACUACUGACACUGCAUAAUCUGGUGUUACCAGGUCAGAAAAGUAAAAAUGUUAUGUUGUUUUUCAGGGCAAGAAAAAGAAAAGGAUGAGGGAAAGUGCACCAGCGGAAACUGCACUUGCUGCAGCUGAAACUGCACUUUCUGCAGCUGAUACUGAAAGUAUCACAUUAUUUCCAUGCCAAGAGGGAUAUUGCUAUUUAACCAUACAAGCAG